ACGUACACUCCUACGGGAGGCAGCAGUGGGGAAUAUUGCACAAUGGGCGCAAGCCUGAUGCAGCCAUGCCGCGUGUAUGAAGAAGGCCUUCGGGUUGUAAAGUACUUUCAGCGGGGAGGAAGGCAAUACGGUUAAUAACCGUGUUGAUUGACGUUACCCGCAGAAGAAGCACCGGCUAACUCCGUGCCAGCAGCCGCGGUAAUACGGAGGGUGCAAGCGUUAAUCGGAAUUACUGGGCGUAAAGCGCACGCAGGCGGUCUGUCAAGUCGGAUGUGAAAUCCCCGGGCUCAACCUGGGAACUGCAUUCGAAACUGGCAGGCUUGAGUCUUGUAGAGGGGGGUAGAAUUCCAGGUGUAGCGGUGAAAUGCGUAGAGAUCUGGAGGAAUACCGGUGGCGAAGGCGGCCCCCUGGACAAAGACUGACGCUCAGGUGCGAAAGCGUGGGGAGCAAACAGGAUUAGAUACCCUAGUAGUCCCAUG
rnacentral:rRNA from 1 species